rnacentral:rRNA from 1 species
UUGAAGUAUUUGAAUUGGAUUGGUGGGGAAUUCAAACCCCUUUCCGAAUAUUCAAUUUGGAGGGCAAGUUCUGGUGCCAGCAGCCGCGGUAAUUUCCAGCUACAAUAGCGUAUAUUAAACUUUGUUUGCAGUUAAAAAGCUUCGUAGUUUGAAUUUUCUCGCUUGCAUACGUUGGUUUCUUCGCUAUGUCGAGUGAUCUUUCGUUGUUGGCUUAGUUUGGGGCAUGUUUCUCAUGACUCGACGUUUUACUUCUGAGAAAAUUAGAGUGCUUCAAGCAGGCUUUUGCCUUGAAUACUUUAGCAUGGAAUAAUGGAGUAGGACUUUGGUUCUAUUUUGUUGGUUUUAGGAGCCGGAGUAAUGGUUAAUAGGAACAGUUGGGGGCAUUCGUAUUUG